rnacentral:rRNA from 1 species
GUCGAGGAUCAUUCGCAAUGGGCGAAAGCCUGACGAUGCGACGCCGCGUGAGCGAAGAAGGCCUUCGGGUUGUAAAGCUCUUUGAGCAGGGACGAACGCUUUCCCGCGAACAGCGGGUAGAGCUUGACGGUACCUGCAGAACAAGCCACGGCUAACCUCGUGCCAGCAGCCGCGGUAAUACGAGGGUGGCAAGCGUUGUUCGGAUUUACUGGGCGUAAAGGGGGUCUAGGUGGUGUGCUAAGUCUUCUGUGAAACCCCGAAGCUCAACUUCGGGCCUGCAGGGGAAACUGGCACGCUCGAGCGCGUAAGACGCAUGCGGAAUACUGGGUGUAGCGGUGAAAUGCGUAGAUAUCCAGUAGAACACCUGCGGCGAAAGCGGCCUGCGUGUACGCUGCUGACACUGACGCCCGAAAGCGUGGGGAGCAAACAGGAUUAGAAACCCUGGUAGUCC